UGGUAGGGUAAUGGCCUACCAAGACUGUGAUCAAUAGCUGAUUUGAGAGGAUGAUCAGCCACAUUGGGACUGAGACACGGCCCAAACUCCUACGGGAGGCAGCAGUGGGGAAUCUUGCACAAUGGAGGAAACUCUGAUGCAGCGAUGCCGCGUGAGUGAAGAAGGCCCUUGGGUUGUAAAGCUCUUUCGUCGGGGAAGAAAAUGACUGUACCCGAAUAAGAAGGUCCGGCUAACUUCGUGCCAGCAGCCGCGGUAAUACGAAGGGACCUAGCGUAGUUCGGAAUUACUGGGCUUAAAGAGUUCGUAGGUGGUUGAAAAAGUUGGUGGUGAAAUCCCAGAGCUUAACUCUGGAACUGCCAUCAAAACUUUUCAGCUAGAGUAUGAUAGAGGAAAGCAGAAUUUCUAGUGUAGAGGUGAAAUUCGUAGAUAUUAGAAAGAAUACCAAUUGCGAAGGCAGCUUUCUGGAUCAUUACUGACACUGAGGAACGAAAGCAUGGGUAGCGAAGAGGAUUAGAUACCCUCGUAGUCCAUGCCGUAAACGAUGUGUGUUAGACGUUGGAAAUUUAUUUUCAGUGUCGCAGCGAAAGCGAUAAACACACCGCCUGGGGAGUACGACCGCAAGGUUAAAACUCAAAUGAAUUGACGGGGACCCGCACAAGUAGUGGAGCAUGUGGUUUAAUUCGAAGAUACGCGCAGAACCUUACCAACACUUGACAUGUUCGUCGCGACUCUAAGAGAUUAGAGUUUUCGGUUCGGCCGGACGAAACACAGGUGCUGCAUGGCUGUCGUCAGCUCGUGUCGUGAGAUGUUGGGUUAAGUCCCGCAACGAGCGCAACCCUCACUUUUAGUUGCCAUCAUUAAGUUGGGCACUCUGAAAGAACUGCCAGUGAUAAGCUGGAGGAAGGUGGGGAUGACGUCAAGUCCUCAUGGCCCUUACGUGUUGGGCUACACACGUGCUACAAUGGUAUCUACAACAGGAAGCAAGACUGCGAAGUUAAGCAAAUCCCUAAAAGAUACCUCAGUUCGGAUUGCACUCUGCAACUCGAGUGCAUGAAGCUGGAAUUACUAGUAAUCGUGGAUCAGCGUGCCACGGUGAAUGCGUUCCCGGGUCUUGUACACACCGCCCGUCACACCAUGGGAGUUGGUUCUACCUUAAGGCAAGGUUUCAAACCCUUGACCACGGUAUAGUCAGCGACUGGGGUGAAGUCGUAACAAGGUAGCCGUAGGGGAACCUGCGGCUG
rnacentral:rRNA from 1 species